rnacentral:rRNA from 1 species
AUUAUACCGUGAAACUGCGAAUGGCUCAUUAAAUCAGUUAUCGUUUAUUUGAUAGUACCUUACCACUUGGAUAACCGUGGUAAUUCUAGAGCUAAUACAUGCUAAAAACCCCGACUUCGGAAGGGGUGUGUUUAUUAGAUAAAAAACCAAUGCCCUUCGGGGCUCUUUGGUGAUUCAUGAUAACCUAACGGAUCGCAUGGCCUUGCGCCGGCGACGGUUCAUUCAAAUUUCUGCCCUAUCAACUUUCGAUGGUAAGGUAUUGGCUUACCAUGGUUUCAACGGGUAACGGGGAAUUAGGGUUCGAUUCCGGAGAGGGAGCCUGAGAAACGGCUACCACAUCCAAGGAAGGCAGCAGGCGCGCAAAUUACCCAAUCCCGACACGGGGAGGUAGUGACAAUAAAUACUGAUACAGGGCUCUUUUGGGUCUUGUAAUUGGAAUGAGUACAAUUUAAACCCCUUAACGAGGAACAAUUGGAGGGCAAGUCUGGUGCCAGCAGCCGCGGUAAUUCCAGCUCCAAUAGCGUAUAUUAAAGUUGUUGCAGUUAAAAAGCUCGUAGUUGAAACUUGGGUCUGGCUAGCGGGUCCGCCUCACCGCGUGCACUUGUCCGGCUGGACCUUUCCUUCUGGAGAACCUCAUGCCCUUCACUGGGUGUGUUGGGGAACCAGGACUUUUACUUUGAAAAAAUUAGAGUGUUCAAAGCAGGCCUUUGCUCGAAUACGUUAGCAUGGAAUAAUAGAAUAGGACGUGCGGUCCUAUUUUGUUGGUUUCUAGGAUCGCCGUAAUGAUUAAUAGGGAUAGUCGGGGGCAUCAGUAUUCAAUUGUCAGAGGUGAAAUUCUUGGAUUUAUUGAAGACUAACUACUGCGAAAGCAUUUGCCAAGGAUGUUUUCAUUAAUCAGUGAACGAAAGUUAGGGGAUCGAAGACGAUCAGAUACCGUCGUAGUCUUAACCGUAAACUAUGCCGACUAGGGAUCGGGCGAUGUUUCUAUCUUGRCUCGCUCGGCACYUUACGAGAAAUCAAAGUUUU